GACGAACGCUGGCGGCGUGCUUAACACAUGCAAGUCGAACGGAAAGGCCCUGCUUUUGUGGGGUGCUCGAGUGGCGAACGGGUGAGUAACACGUGAGUAACCUGCCCUUGUCUUUGGGAUAACUUCCGGAAACUGGGGCUAAUACCGGAUAGGAGCUCCUGCUGCAAGGUGGGGGGUGGAAAGUUUCGGCGGUUGGGGAUGGUCUCGCGGCUUAUCAGCUUGUUGGUGGGGUAGUGGCUUACCAAGGCUUUGACGGGUAGCCGGCCUGAGAGGGUGACCGGCCACAUUGGGACUGAGAUACGGCCCAGACUCGUACGGGAGGCAGCAGUGGGGAAUAUUGCACAAUGGGCGGAAGCCUGAUGCAGCAACGCCGCGUGCGGGAUGACGGCCUUCGGGUUGUAAACCGCUUUCGCCUGUGACGAAGCGUGAGUGACGGUAAUGGGUAAAGAAGCACCGGCUAACUACGUG
rnacentral:rRNA from 1 species